rnacentral:rRNA from 1 species
UGCCAGCAGCCGCGGUAAUACGGAGGGGGCUAGCGUUGUUCGGAAUUACUGGGCGUAAAGCGCACGUAGGCGGAUUGAUCAGUCAGGGGUGAAAUCCCGAGGCUUAACCUCGGAACUGCCCUUGAUACUGUCAGUCUCGAGUCCGGGAGAGGUGAGUGGAAUUCCUAGUGUAGAGGUGAAAUUCGUAGAUAUUAGGAAGAACACCAGUGGCGAAGGCGGCUCACUGGCCCGGUACUGACGCUGAGGUGCGAAAGCGUGGGGAGCAAACAGGAUUAGAUA